GACGAACGCUGGCGGCGUGCUUAACACAUGCAAGUCGAACGAGAACGGGUUAUAGCUUGCUAUAAUUGUCAGCUAAGUGGCGCACGGGUGAGUAAUGUAUAGGUAAUAUGCCUCUUACUAAGGGAUAACAAUUGGAAACGUUUGCUAAUACCUUAUACUCCUUAUUAACAUAAGUUAAUAAGGGAAAGAUUUAUUGGUAAGAGAUUAGCCUGUAUUGUAUCAGUUAGUUGGUGGGGUAAUGGCUUACCAAGACUAUGACACAUAACUGGUUUGAGAGGAUGAUCAGUCACACUGGAACUGAGACACGGUCCAGACUCCUACGGGAGGCAGCAGUGGGGAAUAUUGCACAAUGGACGAAAGUCUGAUGCAGCAACGCCGCGUGGAGGAUGACACAUUUCGGUGCGUAAACUCCUUUUAUAUGAGAAGAUAAUGACGGUAUUAUAUGAAUAAGCACCGGCUAACUCCGUGCCAGCCGCCGCGGUAAGAC
rnacentral:rRNA from 1 species